CCUACGGGGGGCUGCAGUAAGGAAUAUUGGUCAAUGGACGAAAGUCUGAACCAGCCAUCCCGCGUGCAGGAUGAAAGCCCUAUGGGUUGUAAACUGCUUUUAGCAGAGAAGAAAAGCUUUCAUUAAUGAGAGUCUGACGGUAUCUGCAGAAUAAGCACCGGCUAACUCCGUGCCAGCAGCCGCGGUAAUACGGAGGGUGCGAGCGUUACCGGGUGUAAAGGGUGCGAAAGGGGGGGUAGGAGGCAGUGGUGAAAGCUUGUCGCUUAACGUUAAAAUUGCCAAUGAUACUGGUACUCUUGAAUUGGGUUGAGGUUAGCGGAAUGUGACAUGUAGCGGUGAAAUGCAUAGAUAUGUCAUGGAACACCAAUUGCGAAGGCAGCUAACUGGGCCUUGAUUGACGCUGAGGCACGAAAGCGUGGGUAGCGAACAGGAUUAGAUACCCUAGUAGUC
rnacentral:rRNA from 1 species